ACAGCCAUUAGAAAAGAGGUGCUAAUUGCUAAGAUUUUCUUCCUCGCGGCUCCCGCCUCUUUCUCUUCUGAUUUUCAUCCUCUUCCCGCCCAUUUCUCUCAUUCUCUCCCAAAGUCGUCUCUUUCUCUCUCUCUUACUCAAGCUUCGCACCACCAGCACGGACGGAACCAGUGGACGACAUCUAACCACCGGAUUGGAUCAAUUCUCACAAACUCAACACUAAUGCUGGAAAAUUAAGACUGAGGAGGAACUACAGAAAUUCAAGAAAGAAUUUGAAGCAUGGAAAGCAGCCAGAGUUUGGGAACAUCCAAAGGUUGUUGAACUUAGCAGAAUUCCUGGGCAAUGGCUUGCUCAAGGGAACCUGAACAAUGGAACAAAAUCUAGUCACUCUGAGCAGAUCCCCCUAAUUGAUUGUGAUUAGAAAUUUGGUAAGACUUAUGAUAACAAAUUGGGUAAGCCUAGAUCUUCUGUACCAACAAGGAUAGUGAUCUUGAAGCCUGGCCCUGACAGGAAUGGGGGUAGUGAAGAUUCUUGGGCUGGUUCAUCAGAAGCUAUUGAAGAGGAAACACUUCAGCAACAGCCAACCCAACCUGAGAAUAGUUUUUCUUUAGAGAGAAUGCCUCCUCAAACUCUGCAGCAAGGUCUGGAAUCCUAAGGUUCCGGCAAUGAAAUGCA